CCGGGGCGCUGCCUCCCCGGCCUCGCCGGAGCCGAGUGGGGCCCGGGCUGCCCGCAGGCGCCGCUGCCGGGCCAGCACCCCCCCCCCCCCCAAAUUAGGGGAAAAACAGCUUAUAUAGCUGCGUCCGAGUGGGGCCCGGGCUGCCCGCAGGCGCCGCUGCCGGGCCAGCACCCCCCCCCCCCCCAAAUUAGGGGAAAAACAGCUUAUAUAGCUGCGUGUGCCCCGCUCUUCCGUGGCUCGGAGCGGCCUGAGUGAGAAGCCGCCUCGGGGGCGGGCCUGGCCCUGGCAGGGUGCAGGCCGCUCGCCGCUGCGGGUCGGCCCCCGACUCGUUUCGCCUUCAUCUCGCGUAGUGUGUUUACUACAGGCGUUUGCCUAAUGUUGUCUGGGAAUAUAGCUGUUUGGAGUUGCGCCUAGCAGUGUGCUACCUUGAUUUUUUAUUUAUUUAUUUUUUUCUGAAAAUGCAUCAACACCAAACCCCUGCUCUUGGAAGCAUAUGAGGAAGCAAACCUUGGGAGUUUACCAGUGGAUAUUUCAAUAACAUCGACCUCACUAGAAGUGGGAAGCGGAGAGGCCUGCACGACAGUGAUGCUCCCGGCAGAGGUCAGGGUUGCCCCGUCCUCCUGCCGCGGGCUGCGGUGCCUUCCUGGUGAUGGGCUGCACCUGAGGCUGCAGGUGCAGGCGGGCUCAGACACAAAAUUGGUUUCUACUUUGAGUGAAAGCCUGAAACCCCAGAAGAGUUAUGUCUUUUACUGUCAAGCCUGUGGUGACAUCAUAAUAAAAGAAGGGAAAUUUCUCAGAGUUCUUCCUCUACCAAGCGAAAACUGGAGUGCUUUAGUUGAAGAGUGGUGUUGCCACCCUAACCCUUUUGUCAAAAGCAAAUUGCAUCCUCAGAAACAUGAUUGUUUUCUUGGAGACACUUUUUUUCUGUUGAAUUCGGGAAAUGAGUUGUGUGUGCCAGGAUCUCCUUUGUACUCUCCAGAGACUGGACGUCAUACUUCUCAGAGUGGCUCCACCUUGCAUCACUCAAUUGCCAAGCAAAUGAGCAAAACGAAAUCAAAGGAAAAUACCAGAGUAAUUUGUAAGCGCUGCAAGACAAUGCUGGGAGAAACAGUAUCAUCAGAGACCAUUAAGUAUUAUGUCACUGAAUUGAUUAUUCGACCAUCUGAGGAAAGUUUCAGCACAGUAUCCAGGUCUCAAUUCGUACAGAGCAUGAUAGCUCAGUGUCUUGUGGAAUUUUCCUCUGCUAAAAGCACAUUUAGGUUCAGCAUAAAAGGGGAUGAUGGAAAAGUCUAUAUUUUGGUAUGGCUUUUAAAUUCUGACACUCUGCUGGUGGAGUCUUUAGGAAGUUCGUCCUCCCACAGUGUUUUUACACUGUUUGGAGAUAGUUUGAGGCCUGAUUCUGGACCAGUGGCGACCUGGAAUGCUGUCAAGGUUCUUUACCAGCCAUGCAUUAAAAGCAGGAAUAAGGACCUUGCUGAUGCAUGGGAAAAUGAUAUUGGAGUUCAUCCUUUAACAUUUCCAUCAGAAACGUGUUUAGAAUUACUGCUAAUACUGGGUUUGAGUACCGCCUCUCUGCCACCUUCACUUCGCUGCAUGAACUCUUUCCAGGUUCCUUGCCCCAAUCCCGCCUUUUGGAAGGCCAGUCCGGGUUCUUUCAAGGGCUUCAGAAAUGAGCAUUCAUUCUGAUGCAUUCAUCAAAACUGUCCAGUUCUAUCCUGAUAAAGAUAGAUUUGCUGUUUGGACCUUAUUCAUUCCAUGUAAAUCUUUAGGAUGUGACUACAUGAAUAAGUUCUCAAGAAGCCGUGUGUGGGUCCGCAGUUCAUCUGAUACUCUGGAGUAAGCGCAUAACGUUCUGACUUCUUGGUUGCCUUUUUGAAGAUGUGAAGAAUCCAGAUACAUAUGUUGAAAACUGUUCUCAAAUUCAUCUUCAGCAAAAACAUACAGCUACCUUCCAAUAGUGUGCUUUUUAGAAAAGAAUCUGCUGGCAAUACAAAACAAAAUCUAGGGGUGCAGGGGGUAUUCCUCACAUCUGGAUGUGUUUCAAAAUUAGAAAACUCAAGACAGGGAGUACAUUCCUAGAUGUCAUUCUGAGAGUGACUUAUCUGGCAUGUUAGAAAGCUGGAAUGACUGUUACUACGAUGCCUUCAUUGCCAACAGAAUACAUACUAUUAUCUGUGUACCCAGUAUUACCUUAUGGGACAGUGGUUGAUAGUCACUUACAUGUCUUAAGGAAGAUGAGCAACUGAUUACAGGGAGAGGUUCCAAAAUAUUUUAUGUUGUGAAUGCUAAAGCAGGCUCUUUACUUUUUUGAUCUGGUAAAGUUAGAGGUCCAGUUUUAAAAUAAGAAAAAUGUGUUUUUUGUUAAAAUUAUAUAUUUAUCAUGUAUGUUUCCACAUUAGGGUGUCUCUCUCCUCUUGAGAGAGAAGGAAGACAGUUUCCAUAUUCCUACACUUCAUAGGGAAUUUGGUGAAAUUUAUAAUGUUUUGGAGAAUCAAAUUUUCAUGGUUACUUGGAAUAAUUUUCAUAGAACUUCAAAAAAGAGUGUGAAGGGUGGCUUUGCAGAAACUGAUGGAGACAGAAGAUACUUGUAGCAAGUCAGUACAGCUUCCCUAAAUUGUCCUUCGCUGUUGUGGAGGCAGGCUUACCUGCCUUUCAUGGGAAUGAUAGCACAUUUUCAUAAAAAAGAGAAUGUUUCGCUAUUUUCAGUUUUGGAGCGGACUGCUCACUUGUUAGCUGGCAGCGAAAAUUUUCACCUCCCCUUGCCCAGGAAGGCAGAAUGGUGUAUGUGCAAUGGCUAAGGAGAGGGAGAGAAAUGGGUUAUUUCUGUCCAUUCAGCAGCUGCUCUGAGCUCUGUCUUGACAAAGUCUAUUGCCUGAGCCAUUGGGGAAGUAUUUGCUGCUCUUUAGCUGAGCUCUGUUUUUACACGCACAUGGAACUCUUAAAGCAAAAAGAUACUACCUUGUUGGAAGACAGCUGUAUGAAAGGAACUGAUUUUGAGGAGGUUAUUCUUGGUAGAGGAAUUCUUCCAAAAUUUCUGAAUUUCGUGGAAACUUAACAUGCCUUUUAUUCACUUGGUGAUGAAAUCUUUAUAAUGUGGGACAUGACCCUGCAAAGUUUUGAGCACCUUCUGUGAGCUAUUAGGUAUCCAGCGACAAAUAGCUGAGGCCUCUCAGCACCAAUCCUGGCCAUUUUUUUUUUGUUAUUAUUUUAGUUUUCAGUAUUCAAGGAAGAAAAAAAAUAUUCCGAGUUUUGUAUUCAGGGACUAGAUUAUCUAGCUCCAAGAUAUUUUGUCUGUGCAGCAGUGUUUAGUCAUUUUAUGAAUAAAAUAUUUUUUCCAAAUCA